GGAGAUGUAGCUCAGAAGUAGAGCACUUGCCUAGCAUGCAUGAGGUCCUGGGUCCCAUUCCCAGUACCACCA
rnacentral:tRNA from 1 species